rnacentral:rRNA from 1 species
UACGUAGGGGGCAAGCGUUGUCCGGAUUUAUUGGGCGUAAAGAGCGUGUAGGCGGCCGUACAGGUCAGCUGUGAAAACUCGAGGCUCAACCUCGAGACGUCGGUUGAAACCGUACGGCUAGAGUCCGGAAGAGGCGAGUGGAAUUCCAGGUGUAGCGGUGAAAUGCGUAGAUAUCUGGAGGAACACCGGUGACGAAGGCGGCAUCCUGGACCAUGACUGACGCUGAGGAGCGAAAGCCAGGGGAGCAAACGGG